UACAGAGGGGGCAAGCGUUAUUCGGAAUUAUUGGGCGUCAAGGGCGCGUAGGCGGCUUGGCAAGUGGCAGGUGAAAUCCCUCGGCUUAACCGAGGAACUGCCCUCCAAACUGCUUCGCUUGAGACCGGGAGAGGUGAGUGGAAUUCCCAGUGUAGCGGUGAAAUGCGUAGAUAUUGGGAGGAACACCAGUGGCGAAGGCGGCUCACUGGACCGGUACUGACGCUGAUGCGCGAAAGCGUGGAGAGCAAACGGG
rnacentral:rRNA from 1 species